AUUUUCUCCCUUUUUCUUGUAUUUUAGUAGAUUUACACUGAGGAUGCCUUUUAAAAGAGAAAGAAAUGAAAGGCAUCUCUCACCCUCAAAUAAAAAAAGAAAAGUAACACAUUAUGAGCAGAUCUACCCGAAACAAACUGGUAUUAUAGUCAGUCAGCUACAGGCCAUCGUGGCGCAAAAAAGAAAGGACAAGAAAGAUCAUCAGCAUCUGUGUAUUGGCCUGAAUUUAACAGAGAUUAUAAUGUGGAUUUUACAGGUUCCUCAAUAUUUUUCUUUUCCUUGUUGACUUUUUUAAGUUCUUUUGACUUGCAAAUUGGCUUGACUGGCAUCUGCAAAUAGUCUUCAUGCUUUGCCUUUCCUCACUUUCAGCAUCAUGAUUUCUGUUACUGACUUCUGUUUGGUUAUUGUAUUUCUAUGAUCAAAUUCUCUGAUAGACGUAUAAUUCAACAAAAAUUUCUGAAGUUUGCUGGAGGACAAGGAAAACAAAUAGAAACAAUUCAUUUAAUAAGAUUCAUUAGCAAGAAGAAACACAGAGUUAUGAAUUUCCACCGUCUGUUAUUCACAUAAGGCUCAUUAUGUAGUUUGCAAAGUUUGAGUUCUUUCAUCUGCUACUGAAUGAUUACAUUACCAUUUGGCCAUUCCAUUCCUUGCUUCUAGUAACAUUACGAAUUUCAAGCUCCUCUUACUUUAUCAGUGCAUCCAUGUUUCGGCUUAUCCGCUUCUCCAAGCUGAUAAAUUUUGUUUACCUUUGAGCAAUUUUCCGGAGGAAAAUUAAUGUGGAUAUAUGGUGAUCCUGAACUUCUUGAUGACUCCGAAUUCUAUCAGCAACUCCUCAAGGAGUUCUUCGAGUCCUAUGACCUUGCCUCAUCUGAAAGCUGCAGCCUAAGAAACGUAAGGUGGUCGAUCGUCGUGCUUCAAAGAGUUGAAAGAUAAGGAUGAGUCUUCGUGAAUUGUAGUUUGAACUUCUCUAUUGGAGCGCAUAGAACUUUCCUUUCGCCUAUAAAAUUUUUUAAUUACAUAUUAGUCUUCUUAUAGCUCGAAUUUCUUUUUAGCUAUCUAAUAUUUGAUUGGCAUUUGUUUUGUGAUAAAAAUUGAUUUUGACAUUUAUUUGUAUUCGCAACAUUUUUGAGAAUGUAAUAUAUUUUUAUAUUCAGCUUAUUUGAUAUUUAUGAAA